rnacentral:misc_RNA from 1 species
AAAAAUGGCUGCCCCCAUGAACUCAAACGCGAGUAGUCUACAGUGCAAACAUGGAAAAACAUACUUGUUGUAUUUUGCAAAUCAUCACACAGACUUCCGAGUUGCUGAGUUGGUUGCACUUGCUGACAUGUUUGGUAUUGACCUUCCAGUGGCAGAUUUGAAGUUUCUUGAUAAAGAGUGUCCAUUUUUUGUUGUCCAUCUUUCUUCAGAAGCAGAUGCCAAGCAGUUAGCCAGUAGAAGUGUGCUGAUUAAAUCAAUUAUUGAAUUGUGGGGCCAUGGGAUUACUCAUGAGGAUUUGUUUGAAGACCUCAGAAAAUCUAAGGAUUCAGUGAUGUCACAUCUAAUGGACACUGCUUCAUUUAAAAUUGUUGUUGAUGGUUUCAAUAAGUCACUCCCUCAAAAAUACAAAGUCCAGAGGAUUGAGAGACUUACAGAGGAUGCUCUCCCUUUCAGUGGUAAAAUCGAUUUAAAAAAUCCUGAUCAACUGUACUAUUUACUAGAGGAUUAUGGGAAACAGUCCAAGAAUGCUGACUCAGUCCCACAACACGUGUACUUUGGUAGGUGGGUAAGUGUUCUAUAAAAGCAGCUUUCAUUGAUUAGUUUAUGAUUCCUGUGCAUGUAAAUGUGUUUUUGAUACAUUCUGUACAUGUAAUAUUUUAUUACUUGUUUAUUGCAUUUAAACAAUAAAUUUUUUUUACUAUUUAAUGAAAAACGACAUACUAGUAAUAUUUUUUUUAUAAAGAUUUACUUUUUUUGCAAGAAUUCCAACAUGCAAGUAAAAUAAGAUGUACAUAUACAUUUAUUUUUGAUGUACUACAUGUACAUUAUGAAUCUGGUUGUUCAAUGUUUUUUCUCCAGCAUUUUUGUUUCAGUUACCAGGUACAUCCUUAUUUUUACAGAUUGCAGAUGGAAAUAGAAAUGAAAUUCAAAAUCAGGAGGUCAAUAAAAGAUCCUUUAUUGGUAAUACCAGCAUGGAAGCAAGUCUUUCACUCCUGAUGGCCAACUUAUCAAAAGUCCAGAAAAAUAUGUUGGUGAUUGAUCCAUUUGUUGGGACAGGUGAAUUUUUUAAUUUCUAUGACAACUAUGAAUAGUAAUUUUUUUAAGUAUCAAAGAUAUAAAGAUAGAACACCAACCAAAACAAGUACAUGUAUGUAAUACAUGUACCGAUAUUAUUAUAUGAAUGUUGUUUUGUAGGAAGCAUUCUUGUGCCUUGUGCGUAUCACCAAGCAUAUGUCAUGGGAACAGAUAUCAAUUACUUGCUUCUACAUGCAAAAGGUUUGUAACACAUCACUUGAUAAUUAUUACUCAGUAGGAUAUUGGUUCCAACAGAAAAGUGCAUCAUCCUUUUAUGGAAAACUUAAUGAAUGUCUAGAUCGAUGGCCAGAAAAUCUCGUGCAUGUCUUUAUCAACUUACAUUUUAUCAUAUGUUUACAAGUUAACAAUAUUUUAACAUAUAAAUUGAAAGUGUAUUUCCUAUCCAAGCAUUAAUAUAGAUCUGCAUACUAUGAAUUUUCUAAUCCCUGUAAUUAGAAGACAGAUGCACUGUAUAACAAUUUUUAUAUUACAAUUUUUUCCAUAAUGUUAUCAAUAUAUCUCACAUGCUCCAUCUGCAUGUAUUCUAGUAUCAGACCCUGAAUUUUCUGAUUCUUAUCGUUACAUGAUAGAUCGGCUGUAUAAACUAUGUUUUUAUACAAUAGUAUGGGGUUGUAACUGUUGUAGCUAAGCCGAGCAGACAUAAACAGAAGACGAGGUCCCCCGACGAGAGCAUCAGGAACAACCUAGCAGGCUACGGAUUAGAGGCGUACUACGGCGACAUUAUGGUGGCCGAUGCCUCGCGACACGCCAUGUGGAGAACAACGGAGAUAUUUGAUGCCAUCAUCACAGAUCCACCUUAUGGUAUCAGGGAAGGGGCCAAGAAAGUUGGGAAAGAAGAGGCUGUCACACUAACCCCAGAUCAGUAAGCAAUACAUGUACUAGUAGUCAUGCUUGUUUGAUGUAUAGGCAUACUCAUUUGCAUACAUUUAGCUUCAAUUUGGCUGCUGCAUGCAAAUUAUGUAGGCAGUGCCUGUUGUCAAUUUAUUUUUUUUUCAUAAUAAGACAUUGUUAAUGAAAAUUAAAUUCUUAAAUUGUUGUUUUUUUUUUUCAGACGAGUAGAUCACAUCCCACAGAAGGUAGAAUAUGAUUUGUCCAAUAUUUUCACAGACCUUCUAAACUUUGCAUACAAAUUCUUGAGGACUGGUGGACGACUGACUUACUGGUUCCCAGUACAUAGAGCUAAUUACAAGGAGGAAAACAUUCCGCAUCACCCGAGUAUGAGGCUGGUGUCGAACUGUGAACAAACAAUGAACCUCCGAAUAUCUCGUCGUCUGAUCACCAUGGAGAAGAUUCAGCAAUACAGGGAAGACGAGUCACUGGCCAGUCAGACACAUGUAGAUCAUUACUUGAACUCAUCCUUCAGGAACAUGUAUUUCAAUGUGCCAGAAAAUCAACAGAAAUCUGUCACCACAGAAGGAAACACGCCGGACAGUAAAAAGCCGCCAUAAUCAUAUAUUUGAAGAUACAACAAAACACUGCCCUAUAGAUCCAAUGGCUACAAGGGGCUCCCAAAAUGAAACAGAAUAAAGGGAGGUCACUGGAGAUUCAGAAAUCUUGCAAAAGUAGACUAUGAGAUUGAACUUAUCUUGCAGCACUUUUAUAUCAGAAUAUCAUUUGACAAGGGUUUGUAAAAUAGCUAUCUAAACUCAACAUCAUUUGAUGUUAUGAAUUCUAAACACAACUCUCUCAGAAAACUUGGUCUGUGAUAUAUGUCAUUUUGCAUUAUACAUGUAAUAAUAAAUGCUUAAGAAGC